rnacentral:rRNA from 1 species
GGGAAUCUUGCGCAAUGGGCGAAAGCCUGACGCAGCAACGCCGCGUGCGGGAAGAAGGGCUUCGGCCCGUAAACCGCUUUUCUGCGGGAAGAGUAAGGACGGUACCGCAGGAAUACGUCUCGGCUAACUACGUGCCAGCAGCCGCGGUAAAACGUAGGAGGCAAACGUUAUCCGGAUUUACUGGGCGUAAAGCGCGUGCAGGUGGUCUGUUAAGUCGUGCGUGAAAGCUCCCUGGCUCAACCGGGAGAGGUCGUGCGAUACUGACAGACUGGAGACAGAGAGAGGCAAGUGGAAUUCCGGGUGUAGUGGUGAAAUGCGUAGAUAUCCGGAGGAACACCAGUGGCGAAGGCGGCUUGCUGGCUCUGUUCUGACACUCAGACGCGAAAGCAUGGGGAGCGAAC